ACGUGAGGGUAAAUGCCAGGUUUAUGCUUUAACACUGGGCGACAUCAUACAGACAUAUAUUUAAAUAUACAGAAUAGAAAAAGUGUCAUGAUAGAUUCCUUUUCUUUCUUUUACCCUAAAAUAUACAUCAGACUGCAGAUUUCGAGUUCCCCUGCUGAAAAAUUGGAGAACGGCAUUUUGCUACUGGGAGCAGCAUUUCGGCAACGGUCUGGUAAUCAGUCAAUUAAAAAUACAUUCUGACAAUAACACAAUUUGUUAUAGAUUGCCCUGAUUGUGUUAUAUAUCCUGCAUUCUGGUAACGUUAGUCAUCAUUUGCUCCCACUAUUACCAACCCCAAAAAACAGAUUGUACCAACAUUAUAUAUUUUUCAUAUAUAUAGGUUUAUAUUUUAUAGAAAACACAGAAUGGCUUUUAGAAAAUAAAAAAGGCUUUUCAAAAGUGAAGUGUAAACUCAGAACUACUAUUUACAUGUUUAACCCUCUGAGAUGCAGAUAGUUUGAGCUGUGUUCACAAAGCUCCCCCCACCGGCUCUCAAAAAAUAAAAAAUACAGAUUAAAGGAAAGUCUAACAAGCACAUUUUCUUCUUUUUGUUACGUGCAGGCUCUAAUACAGGAAGUGCAACUUAUUUAAUUCUCACUAUCGCAUAUUGUGCAAAUUGUUCAAAACAUUCAAACAUGCCAUACGAACGAUUGCCGUGGAAGAGGCAAUUUCUACAAUGGUAGCAGAGAUGGUUUGAAAGCAAAUGGCAGCGUUGCGUAAAUCAGACCAACGAGAUUGCAUUCACUUGCUAUUUUCCACUCAUUCUCUACAGUAACCAUACAGUUCAUCAUACAUUACAACGUGCUGUCUCCUGCCAGUGAUACAGAAGUAGUACAAGUGGUACAGAAAGGAACAUCUUCUUACAACAGAAAGUAAACAUGCGCAUACAUCAAAAGUUGACAUGAAGUCCCAGUACCUUUCCUAGAGGUUUAUGAACACUCCUAUCUGAUACAAGGGAUGGUUGACUUAUCUAAAACUAAUUAUGUUGUGCACAACAUUGUCAGCAGCAUCAUCAUGUGUAAUUUUAUUUCUCGUAUUUCCCAAUACCAUUGUAUUCUUAUUAUGUGUAGUGUUCUCAUUGUGCAAGUAGCGUUCGUUGAGCUUCGAAAUCCUGUUGGGGGUUAUUCGGUAAACAGUGACUGAAUGUGAAUAGGCAAGGGAGUUUUGAAAAGUAGUGGAACAUAGGUUGGACAGAUCGCUGUGUACUUGUGGGACACUGACAGGGUUAUUUGCUAAAGUGGAAAUUCCAAGUGAAUUUCACAUUGUAGACCAAGGGUGGGCAACCUUUAACACUCCAGAUGUUUGGGACUGCAUCUCCCAUAAUACUCUUACAGCAAUCAUGCUGGAAAAACAUCAGAGAUGUAGUCCACAAUGUCUGGAGUGUCGAAGGUUGCCUACCCCUUUUGUAGGCCAAAGUAGCCAAACUGAAAGUAUAACUGACUUAGACUUUUUUUUUUCAAUUCAGCUUGUUUGACCUUAAAUCUGAAAUUCACUUUGAAUUCUCACUUAAUAACAACCAUGUAAAGGAAUGAUGUAUUCUGUCAGAUACAAAGUAGUUCCUUUGAGGUCUCAGGUACAAUUUUCACAUGCGUAAAUAAUAAAAUCCAUAUAAUGGAGGGCAGCACUUUCAUGCCCAAACUCAGCCAUUUUGUUCUAAACUUUUACAUUCUGAUUCACCCCAAUUACCUGUUUAGUGCAUUUAUCCCUUUGGCUGGACUUUCCUAUAUUUAGUUUUUUUAAUUUUCUCUUAAAGGGCAGAGCAGCCUCUGCUAUCGCAAUGAGCAAAAGAGAAAAUCGAAAAACAAAAGUAAUAAUAGCGGAACCCUUAACUUGAACUCUAUGUUUUAUUGCACCCUUGAUGUAAGCGCUUCUAUAAAUAUGUUACAUGUGUGAUCAACAUAAACAAUUGGUACGUACAUAAGAGGAUUCAAUCUUUUUAAUGAGACGUCCACCGACAUGUUUUAGAACAGUCCAUCUAUUAAAGAUACAUUUUAUCCGUUUUUUUUUCUUCAACACAAAACUAACUUUAAAAAUUGUCUUUGCCAAAGCACCUAGACACUAUAUCAGAGUUCACUUUCCUGUUAUUCAUUUUUGGUUUAGAAACCCACCUAUUUUAUUACUAAGGCUCAAUAUUCACUAAAGUAAUAAUACUCGUCAAUUUGCAGAUCUAUGUAAGUUUGGUUGUUGAUAAGUUCAUACUUACUUCUUUAAUUCUACCUGAAAUGUUAACUAUGUAAAUCCACUUGCAAUGAUACUACCAAGUGAAACAUAUUAUUUACAUCUAAAGCUAUAGAAAAUACAGCUGUUCUUACCACUUUAAGAUAUUGGUGUUUUUCUACUCUAUUGACUGACAAGUGAUUAUAUUACAAUUUUUCAAGCAUACAGGUGGAGUAGUGUGUUAAUCAUAGCUCCGGGGAACAUGUGAUAUUAGCAGCCAAUCAGAGAGUAAGAUUCAGACAGGCGACAUGUUUAUUUCCCAGCAUUCUAUGGUGCCAGCAAGAGGAAAUUAUUGUUUGAAUAUCCUCUACUUGCUAUUUAGGGUUGCCCUGUGUCCACCAUGCGGUGUGUAGAAUUUAUAUUACUCCGGUAGGGAGGAGUUAUGUUCAUUUAUCAAAGAGGAAUCCUGCGGCCUAUGAACAGGUCCACCGUCAGAGGGGUACAGCCCCUACACAUGUAAUGGGCUCUAUGUUCAGUAUAUAUAUAUAUAUAUAUAUAUAUAUAUAUAUAUAUAUAUAUAGCAAUAAUAAUAAUAUAUAUGUAUACACACACAACAUUACUGUUGUGUAUCACCUGAUAUACAGCUGCAGCAAAGAGAGAUCGAAGUUCUCCCUCCCCGGGUCAUUGCAGGCUUGUAUCGCAAGGGCUUGCUCGGGAGACUCUCAGCCAUCACCUCCACUGCCUGGAUCUAUCCCUAGCUUGUCCGAUAUCACAUAGUACCAGGGCUUGCGAGAAGAGCCUUCACCAAGCAGAGGUGAAGGCAGAGAGUGUCUAAAGUACCACAGGACCACUAAGGAAUGUCGUGUUUCCCCUUCAAGGCCUUAGGUAUGAAGCAGGGAGGGGGAAAAAACUUUAAUAAGACAAAACAAAACGUGUGUUUUUGUUUAUAUAUAUAUAUAUAUAUAUUCCCUUCUCACCCUACACACAUACACUGCAUCCACCGUACACACCUCCUCCCUUAUACACACACACACUACAUCCCCCCCCCGCACUUACACCACAUCCCUUUAUCAAUUAUGGUACAUGUUUUUUUUUCUUAAACAUUUCUAGUAAAAAUAUAUGGGUGAGUUUUAUAUACAGGCCACAAAAUUUCUGAUGGCAUUCCUGCAUGUGAAUGCUACAUACUAAAGGGCGACACUUUCAAUGUGCUAUUAAGAAGUGAUAAGGGUCCAGGAAAACAGGGUGGAUCUGCUAACCCUAGUGCCAUCCAUGAUUUUAGGAAGUUUAUAUUAGCUAUACAUCCUUUUCAAUUUUAAUUAAAAAGGCUACUGAACAUUUUUUUUAGAAAUAUUAGGAAACUAUAUAGGCAGUUUUUUUUAAAUGAUAUGAUAGUGUAAAAAAAUGUUUGCAUGAUAGAUCCUCUUGAGGGGAUAACCUUUUCUAUACUAUUCUGUCAUACUAGGACAAAACUGACUACAGUUCUUAUAUAGCCAUUUAUUUCAUAGAAUGUUUAAGAUAUUCCUUAUACAGCUGGGCCUGUCAACUGUAAAGCAAUUUGCGUCACUGGCAUGCCCUCCUCCCUUCCGGUCCUCAUAGUAAGAGGAAUUCAGCUGCUACCUGUGUGAAAACAGUUAACAGAUUAUAGCAAGACCCUGGGAACCACGAUACAAAAAUGGUGAUAUGUCAGAUCUAGAAAUAAAUUACAACAGAUCUUCAUGCCAGAGACACAACAUGGGUUACCCCGUGUUUGCAUGUUAUAAAACUAUAAACAGGCAGACAAUAAAAUUAGUUAUAUGCAAAUUUAGAAAUAUAAAAAAGUUCUAUAUAGCAAAUUAUUAUCCAGUGUAUAUAUAUAUGAGGGAAAGGACGAUUAUUAGAGCUGAUAUUCAGCAUUUUGCCGAUAUUACUGAUAACUUGCUCAAAUGAGGCACAACAUUGCAGCCUCACGUCACUCCUCCCUGUAAGUCCCCACAUGCAGAGCUCAGCUGAAGGCAGGGAGGUGAGACACUGAAUAAUCUACUGCAGGCACAGGCAACCUUCCGCACUCCAGAUGUUUUGGCCAGCAUUAUGGGUGUAAGAGCAUUAUGGGGUAUGUAGUCCACAACAUCUGGAGCCCCAAAGGUUGCCUGUCCCUGAUCUACUGUAAUGUAGUAGGCUGUCUGCCUGAGAGUAAUAGGAGUGUGAUUGUGUAGUGUUGGAAAUUCAAAGUGAAGUUCAAAUAAAGCCCAGCUGCUGAAUUGAAAACUUAGGCUCUGAGAUUUUUUACAAUUCAGCUAUUUUGCCCUAGAAAUUGCUAUUCACUUUAAAUUGCCAACAAUUCACACUUUGAUGAAUAACCCCAAAAGAGCUUAAUUACAUUAUACUUUUAAUGUAACAUUGUCUGUUGUACCUGGCUGUUUCCAUGGCAACAAAGCAGUUUUACACAGAGGCAGUUGACGAUUCCUCGCAUCACAAAACAUCUGUAUUUACACUAAAAAGAAUUGUCUGAUUUUUGUUUUCCUCAUAGUACUAAAGGACCACUCUAAGCACCAUAACAACCUUACAUCAAUGCACAUUACUUUGCAGGGAGUACCCAACUCAUAUCACUGCAUUGAUUUAAAAAAAAGUUUAAAAAAAUCUCUGUAGCUAUAAAAUAGUUUAGUGGAUUUCUGAUAUUAAAGAAAAUAUUAUUUUUCCUACACGAACAACGUGGACAACAUAUUUCUUUUACCAACUGAGAUGAGAGCAUGAGAUACUGUCACACGCAUGCACAUACAUGCAUAAAAGGCUAUGACGUAAUGGCAGCUACCAGCUUGAACUACAUAUCCCAUGCCAGGAGUUUAUGGGAUAAGAAAAAAAGACACAUUAGUCACCAAAACAACCUUAGUUUAA